UGGCAAUCACACCUGCUGUCCCGCGAGCCGGAUCUGAUGCAGACGGACAGUCGUCACGAAGAAGAAUGCUUGACAUCUCCCGGUAAGUGUGUCAAAGCAGGAGUGAAGUUGUGCAUUUCCUGGAAAGAUUUACAGGCGGCUGUGACAUCAGCUUUCCUGCCGACACUGGGAGGCGUGAGUGCUGAUGUGUGUGUAGGCCGAUUCUGACCCAGGCACGACACAUUCCCCCCCCGGGCGGUGAGAGGACCUUGUCUCUGCCCCACUGUACCCAUGGACGGCGUGACAGGGGUCUGGAGCCCCGGGGCAGCACUGGAGCGGUCUCAGUCUGUGACCCCUUGACUGACGGGCUGGAUUGAAAUUGUGCAGCAAAAUAUUCUGGAGAGAGCAGGAUGCAACUAACCCAGUACUCAGUC